rnacentral:rRNA from 1 species
UCUUGGGCGUAUUGGCUAUGGAGCACAUGAAAACUGCACUAUUAAGCAUGCUCAGGUGGGAGUAGUACCAGGAUGGGUGACCUCCUUGGAAGUCUCCACCGGUGCAACAA